rnacentral:rRNA from 1 species
AUUGAACGCUGGCGGCAGGCUUAACACAUGCAAGUCGAACGGUAGCAGGGAAGUGCUUGCACUUUUGCUGACAAGUGGCGGACGGGUGAGUAAUGCUUGGGAAUCUGGCUUAUGGAGGGGGAUAACUACGGGAAACUGUAGCUAAUACCGCGUAAUAUCUUCGGAUUAAAGAAUGGGACUUUUACCCAUUCGCCAUAAGAUGAGCCCAAGUGGGAUUAGGCCAGCUGGUGGGGUAAAGGCCUACCAAGCCAACGAUCUCUAGCUGGACUGACAGGAUGACCACCCACACUGGAACUGAGACACGGUCCAGACUCCUACGGGAGGCACCCCUGGGGAAUAUUGCGCAAUGGGGGCAACCCUGACGCAGCCAUGCCGCGUGAAUGAAGAAGGCCUUCGGGUUGAAAAGUUCUUUCUGUGGUGAGGAAGGCUUAAGUGCUAAUAGUACUUAACAUCUGACGUUAGCCACAGAAGAAGCACCGGCUAACUCCGUGCCAACAACCGCGGGAAUACGGAGGGUGCGAGCGUUCAUCGCAAUGACUGGGCGUAAACGGCUCUCCAGCUGAUUGCUAAGUGAGAUGUGAAACCCCCGGGCUUAACCUGUGAAUUGCAUUUCAGACUGGCAAUCUAGAGUAUUUUAGGGAGGGGUAGAAUUCCACGUGUAGCGGUGAAAUGCGUAUAGAUGUGGAGGAAUACCGAAGGCGAAGGCAGCCCCUUGGGAAUAUACUGACGCUCAUGUGCGAAAGCGUGGGGAGCAAACAGGAUUAGAUACCCUGGUAGUCCACGCUGUAAACGAUGUCGAUUUGGGGAUUGGGCUUUAAGUCUGGUGCCCGAAGCUCACGUGAUAAAUCGACCGCCUGGGAGAGUACGGCCGCAAGGUUAAAACUCAAAUGAAUUGACGGGGGCCCGCACAAGCGGUGGAGUGUGUGGUUUUUUUCGAUGCAACGCGAAGCACCUUACCUACUCUUGACGUCCAUGGAAUCUUGUAGAGAUAUCAGAGUCCCUUCGGGACCCAUGAGACAGGUGCUGCAUGGCUGUCGUCAGCUCGUGUUGUGAAAUGUUGGGUUAAGUCCUGCAACGAGCGCAACCCUUAUCCUUUGUUGCCAGCGAUUCGGUCGGGUACUCAAAGGAGACUGCCAGUGAUAAAUUGGAGGAAGGUGGGGAUGACGUCAAGUCAUCAUGCCCCUUACGAGUAGGGCUACACACGUGCUACAAUGGUGCAUACAGAGGGAAGCAAUAUGGCGACAUGGGGCGAAUCUCACAAAGUCCAUCUAAGUCCGGAUUGGAGUCUGCAACUCGCCUCCAUGAAGUCGGAAUCGCUAGUAAUCGCGAAUCAGAAUGUCGCGGUGAAUACGUUCCCGGGCCU